rnacentral:rRNA from 1 species
CAGUCGCCGCGGGAAUACGAAGGGGGCUAGCGUUGUUCGGAUUUACUGGGCGUAAAGCGCACGUAGGCGGACUUUUAAGUCAGGGGUGAAAUCCCGGGGCUCAACCCCGGAACUGCCUUUGAUACUGGGAGUCUUGAGUUCGAGAGAGGUGAGUGGAAUUGCGAGUGUAGAGGUGAAAUUCGUAGAUAUUCGCAGGAACACCAGUGGCGAAGGCGGCCAUCUGGGACAACACUGACGCUGAGGCACGAAAGCGUGGGGAGCAAACAGGAUUAGAUACCCGCGUAGUCCCUGUCUCUUAUAA